rnacentral:lncRNA from 1 species
CCGCUCUCCGAGCUUCGGCAGCAGCCAGCGCCCCCUCCACGCUGCGACCCCGGCUCUCGGCUCUCCGUCCCUGUAGCUCCGUGCCCAGCACCUCGCGCCCCGCAACCUCGCCGUCUCCCAAGUCCCGGGCCCCGCUUCUGUCGCUGUCCGUCGCUGUCCGUGUGUCGCUCGCUCGGUCUGUCUCUCCGCCUCCCCAGCCCUUCCUUCCUCCCUGUCUCCCUCGCUGGCUUGCACGUUCGCUCGCUCUCGGACGCGGCGAAACAGCUUCGCAGGCAAAUCCCAGAAACCUUUGCAAAAAGCUUGCAAUGAAAUUUAAGAAGUUCUUCGAUUUCGGCGCCAUUUUCGAGUGGAGCCAGAGGUACCCCCAGAUCGAUCCCCCUUCAUUGACUCCGAGGGGAUACAGCAGCAAUUCAUGUUUUGAAGUGUUCUAAAUGGUUCAAAACGUGAGGCGCUGCUAUACCCCCUCGUGGGGAAGGUAGAAGGUGGGGUCUGCCGGACGCGUGUUCCUGCCACCAGGUGCCCGCUCCCCGCGAGGCCGGCUCAGGAGCAGGACAACGAAGAAAACCUAUCUUCAGUCCCCACCCACGAAAUGCUGGGGGGUGGGGAGGACUGGAAAAGGAGUAAGGGGAGAGGAAGGGUGAGCAGCUGCAAGAAGUCUUUACACCUCUCUGCGGUUCCUGGUAAACGCGCUCAUGUCCUGGGUAUGGAAGGGACUUAAGAAUUCAGGAAAGAUCAAAAUAACGGGCCUCUUCCCCACUCCCUCGCCCUCCCUUCCCCGCUGCUGGGGGGUUAGGGAGGCUCCGUGGAGCUCCAGCACUCUAGAAGGAUCGGGUGAGGCGCGAGGCCUUGCGGGCGGGUGAACCCAAGGUGGGGUGGAAGGCUCCAACCCGCCCAAUCUGAGCCCGAGGCCUGCUGAGAAGCAUGGGGGCCUUGGGAUAGUUCCAGAAUGAGGAUGUGCGUUUCUAGCUGCUUUGCGCCCUCCUCCCCCAAAAAUCUGCUACCACAAUUCCAACCCGGCGGCACGCCCCCAAGACUCCUUUGUCGCCCCAGGGGCGGGACCUGAGCUGUCGAUUUCAGGAGCCCUUCGUGACUUCAAAAGUCCUGGGCACUGUUGCUCAUGAGUGCUGCACAACUGUCGCCCUCUAAAGCCACCUCCAUCCCUCACUGGGCUGGCCUCCUGAGCCUUCGAAGGAAGCCCGGUGCCAGCCAGCCUUCCUGAAAGACCAAGCCCGCGCCAUCCGGCUUCCUCCAGUGGACGCCUGCAGGACCCAGGAAUGUUUUUCUUGAAGGCAUCCAGCAUCUCCAGUUAGCAGUACUGAUUUUUUUUCCCCCCAACAAAGGAACACUACAUCAACACUGUUGGCGGGGACCUGGACACAGAAGACUCCUGUUUCAAGAAAAUACAAUCAUCUCUCAAAGGCUGUAAUUUAUAUGCAUUUUAAAACUCUAGGCAUUGAAAACCACCCAAGUGUCCCAAAUAGAAGGGUAAUAUAUAAUCAAUCACUCAGUGUAAUAUUAUACAUCCUUUAAAAAUGUUAUUGGGAAAUGUUUUAUGAUCUGUAAGUCCAAGGAAUCCUCUCCCACCAUUUCUUUCCCCCCGCUGUUCCCCCAUACCCACACUUCUUUGUUCCAAUUGGCAUGUAAAUUUGGUUUUCCCGCCAAAUGAGUCAGUCAUGAUGGGAACCUCAACUGAUUUGAACAGAUGUGUGUCAAUGUUACUUGGAAAACUAGAUGUCAAUAACCAGGGUCACAGAAAAAGGCAGUGGUCACAACUCUGUAAAAAUGUAUGCAUGCACACAGACAAGAACUAAAGUGGAACCCCACACAGGAAAACAGUGGGCUGUACUCCAGUGCUGGGACAUUGAAUGACUGUAUGCUGCUUUUGAUUUCCGUUAAUAUGGGCAACUGUCCAAUUAAAAAAAAAACUCCUAAGGACUCUGCAGUGCAAAUUGUUUUGCUGAUUGUUUUAAAACACCAUACCUAUCAACUCAUCAAGGCAAAUGGGGCAGCGGGGGACUGGGUUCGUUCCCUGAAUCCUGGACUGCUAUAGAGCUCAGGGCAACAUUUGCAGAAAACCUGAGCCUAUGAGAUGGGAGUUAUAGGCAGCUUUCCUGAGGCUGUGUAAGAUGAAAAUAAAACUA